rnacentral:rRNA from 1 species
UGAGGUGACGGUCUCUCUGAAUCUGCGAACGGCUCCGCAAACCAGUUGCAAUACCUAGCACGCUCAGCCUUGGGGCCUCGGCUCCUCGGCACCGAUACGGAUAUCCCUGGUAAUUCUGGGGCUAAUACAUGGCUAACACGAACGCGUACGGCCCCACGGGGGCGGCCUCACGGCUGCCCUAUCCAACGUGCGGUGACCUGCGCGGGGCGCGUGAUACAAUACCAAGCUCGGGUAAAAAUCUAACAAUCGGGACAGAACGCACGCCCAGACCUGCACGCUUCACGGCAACUGGGGGAACUCACGACGGCGGCGGGCCCAGCUUCGCGCUCGGGCUUUUGACCGUCCUGACGGGGACCCUCGGGCAGGCAGGUGCCACGGCUUCUGACCUAUCAACUAGAAUGCGGUAAAAUGGGCUGCAAUGGUCGCAACGGGUACAGAGGAUUAGGGUUCGAUCCUGGAGAGUGGGCCUGAGAGAUUGCUCCUACUUCUAAGGAAGGCAGCAGGCGCGCAAAGUUCCCAGUGGACAUCAGUCCGAGGGCGUUAGGGGAAAUAUGAAUGGUCAUCAUUAUGGUGGCCAAUUCAAAUGGGUCUGUCGUAAACUGACUCUCGAGUAACAAUUGGAGGACAAGUCUGGUGCCAGCACCCGCGGUAAUUCCAGCUCCAAUAGCAUACGUUAAAGUUGUUGCGGUUAAAACGCUCGUAGUCGCGGUCGGGCCGUUGAAAGGCUGUGCGAGUGAACCUGCGUCGCGCUCCGUAAAAAGGGCGCACCUGGGGAUCGAGUGCGGCAUGACGGCGGUCCAACCAAGGUGCCCGUUGCGCGUGCGGUGGGCUUGCUCAUCGAUUACAGGGGUCCGCUUGCGGGCCCUGGCCGGCGGGUUGCCGUGAUUGCCGUGAUUAAACUGGCGUGAUCAAGGCACGGCUCUACGCCUCUUGCACAGCUCAGCAUGGCAUGAAAGCAGCCGGUGCGUGCGUCGUUCCCUUUCCCGGGCUCCGGCGCCGUGCCAAAGCGCACCUAAAGGGUUGUUUCCAGGGCGGCCGAAUUGUCGGGCGAGUGGUGAAAUACGUUGACCCUGGCAAGUCGACCAAAGGCGAAAGCAGCUGCCCGGGGCCUUCCCGUUGAUCAAGAGCGAAAGUUAAGGGCUCGAAGACGAUCAGAUACCGUCGUAGUCUUAACUAUAAAUGAUACUGACCAGGUAUAGGGCGAUGUCCAUACCGACUCCCUCCGCGCCUUCGGGAAACUACAGUC